AAAUGGCAAACAGCAACAUCCCUGCAUCAGUGUUGGACAAGGAUGAAUAUAACUGCUCUGUCCCUGAUAACAAAAAACUACUUUAGAUAUAAGUUAUUCAUGUCAUGUUGUUUUUAUUGACCGCUUGUUAAGGUUAAUGUUGCUGUCUUUGUGAUAUCAGACAUUAUCUUAGCAUGCUUAAUUAUCAUUAUUGCUGGCAACUUGCUAUAACGUCACUUUCGUUACAGAUAGGCUGCAGCCUUGUUCUCCUCACACAAAAAAAAGUUAUAACUGGUAGUUACAUUCAUAUUUCUCCUAUUGUUUACUUAUGCUUUCCAUAACCGGAAACCGCAGUAUGUAGUAGGUACUAGAUACUGCAUACUGUGGUCGCCAGUAGUAUGUAUUAGGCAGUUCUGAAUAAAGCCAAAGGGAUAGCUCCUACAGUGAAAACAUCUCUACCAGUGGACACAUUUCUACCUUGGCACGGUAUAUACAUAUUGCCAACCCUAGUCUAUUGAAUAAUGUGGAGUUGACGCAUCUUUCAUUAAAAAAUAAUGACUCUAGAUUAUUUUUUGUUGUUUUGAUUCAGGAGCAGCAAAAGCCUGCUAAAAGGAAGUACACCAAAAAGCAGCGUCCUCCUGCUCCUGUAGUCACUCCUCCCCCUGUUCAGUCUGAGCCAGCCCCACCCUCACCACCACCUGCUGCAGAGUCUGCAGCAGACGUCAGCCCAGACAGGAGGAUGGAUUACUACUCCGCUAGUCUGUUGGACCAUGAAUACACAGCAGGGCCUGGACCUUUUGGCCCCGGAGGCCCUAGAGGCAGCGGAGCAAUGGCCCCUGGUGUAUUCCUCAGUUCACGUCGACCUUCACUGUCUCCGCAGAACAGCAGCUCUCACUCUGGUGCAUCCCCUGCAGGUUUAGCCAGCCAAGGUACAACAGGAGUCGGUCAAGGGAAACGUCCAAAGAAAGGACUUGCAACAGCAAAACAGAGACUUGGAAAAAUUCUGAAAAUUCACCGUAACGGCAAACUUCUCUUGUGAGAGAUGUUGGAAAUGUAGCGGAAGACUUUUAAGUGGGAAUGAAGAAAAAGGCUUUUGUGGAAGUAGGUCUGAAGAAAAUAGAGAGUGGUCUAUAUUUUGUACUCUAGAUAAAUUUGUUUACUGUUUUCACGGUUAUUGAACUUUAUCUUGUCCUACACCAGUGACCCUGCCUGGCUAAUUAGCAGCCUGUUUUGGCACUCCACUUCCAUAUCCAUCUGCAUAAAGGUGUUUUCACAACUAAUCACUGUAGUGUGCUAGAUGCACGCUUAAUGUUGUAACUCUCAUGAUUGCAUACUAUUUGUCAUUGGGAAAUUGUGACAAGAUGACAGGCGGACAUUGAUUUAACUAGAAUAAUACAUUUUUUUUGUUUUAUUUAGGCUAGGCUAUUUUUAUUGGCUCUAUUUAUGCAAAGACAUUUUACUCUCCAUAUAUUUUUUAAAAGGGAAAGAAGAACAGUACAUUUUCUAGUCAGGUAAAAUGUAAUUCCUGCAUCACCCUCACAAAGAGAGACAGAGUCAUGAAGUUAUAGUGUUGUGUUUAGUUGUCUUUUACCUCAUAAAACACAAUCUUGUGUGGCAUGACAAUUACAGGACACCAAUCUUGACACACAAACAGUGGAUGCACAUGGUUAGCACCCAGUAUUCCACAAGUAUUCAUUAUAUUUGAAGGAAUUUGUCACUGAUUGUCACUGUAGCUCUGCACAUAAUAUAGAAAGCCCUCAACUGAUGCCAAGAGGAACGUCAUAUUCUGAACAUAUUUAUUUAUUUUACAAGGGAGCAUUUAGCCAUCUCUUAGCCUGUUUUAACAUUGUAUGUUUUCACCACCUCAUCUUCUUGGUCCCUAAUUUAAUUAUUUCCAACCACUUACUUCCUGUACAAAAAGUGUAUCCAUUGCUUUGUUAGAAUUUUUUUUUACAGUUUUAAGUUGUCGUUGUAAAUAUUUGUAAUAUUUGUAAUGUAUAUAGCUACAUUGAAAGAGCAGAAGAAUAUUAUGAGAUGAAGAGACUAGUUUCCUGUAAGCUGACAUAAGAUGUGCCCCAAGUGUUGGCAGCAUUUUUGGUCUAGAUCUAGACAUGCUUUCUUUCCACAGAAUGUACUUGUGAUAAAAUGUUGGCAAAACUGUAGAUGUAAUUGUGUGAAAGGUUGUGGAGAUGCAGGAUAUGAAUUGAUAUGUAAAUAUAUGUUGUAAUUUAAGUUCUUUUUAUAGUUCAAAAACUUUGAAAUCUUUCUUAACAUAACGUGUACAUGAUACAUUGCUGUAUUUGGAAAAUAUCUGAAAUAGUUAAUUUUUUUAUAUUUGUACGCAGUAAUUGUCAUGCUUAGUUUGUCAUGCUGUCUUGUCAGUAUAAUAGUGGAAGUGUUCUGGAGAAAAAUGCCCUUGUUUAACAUCAUCCAUUAAGUUUUAUAUUAGUUAUUGUUGAUAUUCACUCUUGUGUUGGUGUAUACUGUGUGUUUUAAACAUGAUGUGUUUAAAUACGACCUGGAACAGAUAAAAAAUACUUUGGGCAAAA